rnacentral:piRNA from 1 species
UAGUCACACCAGAUGUAUA